GCAAAGAAAAAGAAAAAAAAAAGAAGAAGAAGAAGCAAACAAAGCAGAGCACAGCGAAGAAAAGAAAACCGGCCCGUGUCCAAGGUCAUCUGAUUCCUGGAGGGUAAAAGCCAAACAAACAAAUUUACAUAUUAGAGGAAACUACCAAGCUGUUUUCCAAUGUACCAUUUUGCAUUCCCACAAGCAACGUAUGCAUUCCAGUUGCUCUGCAUCCACACUGACGCGUGGUAUUUUCAGCCUUUUUCAUGUGAGCUAUCCUACUACGCUGGAGAGCUUGGUGCAAACGGGAACGUGUGAGAGGAGACCUCAAGGAGCCCACGGGCAGUGGGCACAGCUGAGAGACCUAACCCGGCACUCCGGCUUGACUGUGCCAGGAAGAUGGGGAGCCACCAGGCAGAGGAGACGGGUGGCCACAUAGUCCACGCCCCCACACCCCCAAACGGAGAACGCUGAUCUCAUCAUAAUGUGGGAAGAGACGAAGAAGAAAACUCCCUGAACUCACACCCAACACCCUUCCCUUGCCCAGACAGC